rnacentral:lncRNA from 1 species
UCCAGAGCCGCUGAAGGGCGUGGGGAGAGUCAGGGUUUAAAAAUAGCCGCGACCCAGCGGCUGCAGAGGGAGCUGCUGCUGACUUGAACAUUCAGCAUCACCAAAACACAACAGCACCGCCUAGCUCGUUUUGUCAAUGUGGUUUUUCCACUAUUAUUUCUGCAACGCUGGAGGCAUGCAGACAGAAGGGAUGCAACCUGCAGGAUAUGCCAGGGCUUGUCUAAAAAUAUUUGACACCUGUUCUGUGUUCCGCACACUGGUCAUAUUUUGUCAGUGAAGACCUGUGUUCUAUCACCGACCACUCUAACUGGGAGAGACUGGUUCUCAUCCUCCUCAGGAAUUAUAUUGACUUCACAGUACCCACUGGGUAAAUGGGUGAGUAAACGGGUCCAUCCGUGCCAAGCAGCUUAAUGUGGUUGAUUAAUCAAGGAAUUAGACAUAAAAUUUCAAAUAGCCUCCAGAUAUAAUCCUAUAAUCUUAGCACUUGGGAGGCUGAAGCAGGAGGAUCACCUUGAGUUUGAAGCCAGCCUGGGCUAUAUAGCAAGACCCUGUCUCAAAAGAACAAACAAAUAGCUUCCAGGCAUGGUCUGCCUCCUGUUUUCAUGUUUUCUUCUAAACUUGAGGAACUGUGAGAUAGUCUCAAAAUUCUAACAUGUAUAGCAAGUCUUCUAAAAUAUAAAAUCUUAUAUAUCUCAAAUAUUGAGAAAUGGAUAGAUAUUUACUAUUUACAAGUCAAGUUUCAUUAAUAACAAGACUGAUGGUACAGUCUAAACUUCCAAAAGCCCACCUAAGGGUUCAAUAGUAUUUAAUCCAAUCAAAGUCUGACUAACCUAAAAAUGUAAAUAUAAAAAUAUAAAUCCUAGGCAAUGUCACAUAUUAAUUCAUACAUAAACUAUAGAAAUUGUUUUGGGGCUUUUUUUUUGGUACCAGGGAUCAAACUCAGGACCUUGUGCUUGUGAGGCAGGCGGCAAAACCACUGAGCUAAAUCCCCGCUUGGGGCAUUUUUCAAAGUGGGCUUCUUUGUUUAUUGUGCAGUUUAAAUAUAAAUUAGCUGAGCCUGGUGGUACACACCUGUAAUCCUAGCACUCUGGGCAGGAAGGCUGAGGCAGGAAGAUUGCAAAUUUCACCCCAGCCUGGGCAACUAAGAGAUUUACCAAGAAUCUGUCUCAAAAAAAAAAAAAAUAAAAUAAAAUAAUAAUAAUA